rnacentral:rRNA from 1 species
UACGGAGGAUCCAAGCGUUAUCCGGAAUCAUUGGGUUUAAAGGGUCCGUAGGCGGUUUAGUAAGUCAGUGGUGAAAGCCCAUCGCUCAACGGUGGAACGGCCAUUGAUACUGCUAGACUUGAAUUAUUAGGAAGUAACUAGAAUAUGUAGUGUAGCGGUGAAAUGCUUAGAUAUUACAUGGAAUACCAAUUGCGAAGGCAGGUUACUACUAGUGGAUUGACGCUGAUGGACGAAAGCGUGGGGAGCGAACAGG